ACUCUCUUAGUAUAACACAUAGUACAACUGACUUCCAAUCAGUUAGCCCAAGAAUUAAACCUGGGAGAGAGUA
rnacentral:tRNA from 1 species